rnacentral:rRNA from 1 species
AUUGAACGCUGGCGGCAGGCCUAACACAUGCAAGUCGAACGAGCGGCGGACGGGUGAGUAAUGUAUGGGGAUCUGCCCGAUGGAGGGGGAUAACUACGGGAAACGGUAGCUAAUACCGCAUACUAUCGGAUGAACCCAAAUGGGAUUAGCUAGUGGGUGGGGUAAAGGCUCACCUAGGCGACGAUCUCUAGCUGGUCUGAGAGGAUGACCAGCCACACUGGGACUGAGACACGGCCCAGACUCCUACGGGAGGCAGCAGUGGGGAAUAGUGCGCAAUGGGCGCAAGCCUGAUGCAGCCAUGCCGCGUGUAUGAAGAAGGCCUUAGGGUUGUAAAGUACUUUCAGCGGGGAGGCGUUACCCGCAGAAGAAGCACCGGCUAACUCCGUGCCAGCAGCCGCGGUAAUUC